AAAUUGAAGAGUUUGAUCAUGGCUCAGAUUGAACGCUGGCGGCAGGCCUAACACAUGCAAGUCGAACGGUAACAGGAAACAGCUUGCUGUUUCGCUGACGAGUGGCGGACGGGUGAGUAAUGUCUGGGAAACUGCCCGAUGGAGGGGGAUAACUACUGGAAACGGUAGCUAAUACCGCAUAACGUCGCAAGACCAAAGAGGGGGACCUUCGGGCCUCUUGCCAUCGGAUGUGCCCAGAUGGGAUUAGCUUGUUGGUGAGGUAACGGCUCACCAAGGCGACGAUCCCUAGCUGGUCUGAGAGGAUGACCAGCCACACUGGAACUGAGACACGGUCCAGACUCCUACGGGAGGCAGCAGUGGGGAAUAUUGCACAAUGGGCGCAAGCCUGAUGCAGCCAUGCCGCGUGUAUGAAGAAGGCCUUCGGGUUGUAAAGUACUUUCAGCGGGGAGGAAGGGAGUAAAGUUAAUACCUUUACUCAUUGACGUUACCCGCAGAAGAAGCACCGGCUAACUCCGUGCCAGCAGCCGCGGUAAUACGGAGGGUGCAAGCGUUAAUCGGAAUUACUGGGCGUAAAGCGCACGCAGGCGGUUUGUUAAGUCAGAUGUGAAAUCCCCGGGCUCAACCUGGGAACUGCAUCUGAUACUGGCAAGCUUGAGUCUCGUAGAGGGGGGUAGAAUUCCAGGUGUAGCGGUGAAAUGCGUAGAGAUCUGGAGGAAUACCGGUGGCGAAGGCGGCCCCCUGGACGAAGACUGACGCUCAGGUGCGAAAGCGUGGGGAGCAAACAGGAUUAGAUACCCUGGUAGUCCACGCCGUAAACGAUGUCGACUUGGAGGUUGUGCCCUUGAGGCGUGGCUUCCGGAGCUAACGCGUUAAGUCGACCGCCUGGGGAGUACGGCCGCAAGGUUAAAACUCAAAUGAAUUGACGGGGGCCCGCACAAGCGGUGGAGCAUGUGGUUUAAUUCGAUGCAACGCGAAGAACCUUACCUGGUCUUGACAUCCACGGAAGUUUUCAGAGAUGAGAAUGUGCCUUCGGGAACCGUGAGACAGGUGCUGCAUGGCUGUCGUCAGCUCGUGUUGUGAAAUGUUGGGUUAAGUCCCGCAACGAGCGCAACCCUUAUCCUUUGUUGCCAGCGGUCCGGCCGGGAACUCAAAGGAGACUGCCAGUGAUAAACUGGAGGAAGGUGGGGAUGACGUCAAGUCAUCAUGGCCCUUACGACCAGGGCUACACACGUGCUACAAUGGCGCAUACAAAGAGAAGCGACCUCGCGAGAGCAAGCGGACCUCAUAAAGUGCGUCGUAGUCCGGAUUGGAGUCUGCAACUCGACUCCAUGAAGUCGGAAUCGCUAGUAAUCGUGGAUCAGAAUGCCACGGUGAAUACGUUCCCGGGCCUUGUACACACCGCCCGUCACACCAUGGGAGUGGGUUGCAAAAGAAGUAGGUAGCUUAACCUUCGGGAGGGCGCUUACCACUUUGUGAUUCAUGACUGGGGUGAAGUCGUAACAAGGUAACCGUAGGGGAACCUGCGGUUGGAUCACCUCCUUACCUGAAAGAA
rnacentral:rRNA from 1 species